AGUCACAUAGCCACACUCUCCAGCAGAUGUUCAACUACCUCUGCCAAACCAGGAUGAAACCUCAGAUGUCCUUCAGCAAUUAUUCCACAGGCUCCAGGUUUUUGCAAUUACAACUAUCACCAGAAAGCACACCAAUAACACCAGUCAAUCGCCUACCUGUGGAGCAUCUCUGACAACAUGCAAGGUUUGGAACUGCUGUGCUCUACCUCUGCAUCACUGAAAGUUCAUUGAUGGGAGGUAAUCCUGGCAGAAUUUUUUCACACUCUCAGUUGUGACUUGGUCUGCUCGCAUUCUGUAUCUCACAUCCUCUGUUGUAUUAAUCAGGCAAACAGCAGAAUGUGUGUGCCACGGGCUAAGCCAUUCCUAAAUGCCCAGGGACAGUUGAGAGUCAACCAGAUUGCUAUGGGUCCAGAGUCUCAUGUAAACCAGUCCAGAUUGUCAUUUUGAUAGGAUGCACUAGGAUGGGAAGCUGAUGACGACAAUGAGACUAAACCAGCACCUCAUAAACUGUGACGAUUUGGAGAAAAAUGAAGACGUUAUUGAUGGAGAGGAACAUGAAGGAGAUAAGUCUCUCUGUUUUCCAGUUCUCAGGGGUUGAAAAUUCCGAAGAUCAACAACCCUUUCUGGAAAGAAAUUCUCCAGCACCCCCGGCUUAUUUUGAAACAGUGUCCCCUGUUUCCAGACUGUCCCAGGAGGGAAAUCAUCCUUUAAGCAAAUACUGUGUCAAGCUUCCAAAACAGUCUUAUGUUUUAAUAAAAUGACUUCUUAUUCUUUUAAGGCAUGUAUCAUAUUGGUGCUGUUUAGUAUCUGUAUUGCAGUAAACAAUAUAGUCAAUUGUACAGUGUUGGUAUUGCAUGAUAUUAAUGCAACAAAUUGUAUUGAAUUACUGUUGGAGUGGACAGAAUUGGCACAUUCUAAGCACCUGCUGACUGCACUCUGUUGCCAUCUUCUGGUCAUGAGGCAAUGCACUGUAAUCCUGUUAGCAAUGAAUAAAGGGAGGAUUCUACUGACCAGCCUGCUCCCUGGAGGGUGGCAGGAAUGCAAUAUAACAAAUCACCUUCAAGGCAGUGCCUGUUGUCUUCCCUACGUCCCACUAUUAUGUUGUUAUGGGAAGUGUAUAGGAUGGGCCGAAGGGCUAAAUGUCAGUGGUGAUAUUUAACAGCUGCAUGCGAAAAUAGAUUGUAUAGGAUAGGAAAAUAGGCUGAUAAAGUUAAUGAUGAUAUUCGACAAGAUGCAUGACCUUGAAUGAGUCCUGUGGACAUUCCUUUAUGGGCCUGAGAUAACUCCUGCAGCUUGUUUUUCUGUAGCUGUUUUCUGUGCUAGCUGUUUGUUACAAUGUGUAGGAGAGAGAGAGAGAGGGAGUUUUGUUCCAAGAAUUGGAGUUCACCACGAACUGGGAGCGUGAAUGGCGCCAGUAAAAAGCUCAGCCUCUAAACCAGCCAUUGAUAAGGGGUCCCCGACGAUCAGAAGGGCAUGGGGCUUAUUGAUUUUUUCAUUCUCUUUCUCAUUCUUUUUAUUUACUUAAUAAUCAAUUUUUUUGCCUUUUAUUAUUAUUC